CGGCCUUCUCAUGGGUUAAGGAUUUGGCGUUGCUGUGAGCUGCAGUGUAGGUUGUCAGUGUGGCUUGGAUCUGAUGUAACUGUGGUGUAGGCUGGCAGCUGCAGCUCUGAUUCCACCCCUAGCCUGGGAACCUCCACAUGCCACACGUGCAGCCCUGAAAAGGAGAAAUUAAAGAGUCCAGGAUGGAAUCGAGGUUUCAGGCCCUUCUGUCCAGCAGGUUCUUACUGAGCACCAGCUCUGUGGCUUGAGGAAGUACCCCUUUAAUUCUGACAGAAACCCACCAUGUUCAAUGGGCAUUCUCACCCCAUUUUGCUGAUGGGCAAACUGAGGCUAAGGCAGGUGAUACAACCUCCCCAUGACCGCACAGGAAGAAGGGAGGUAGCCAGAAUUUGCACCAAGAAGGGACCACGAAAAGAUUUGAGAAUAUUCUCCUCCUUUUGAGCCAGAAUAGAAUGUUUGGUGGGGUCUGCAUUUGUGUCAAAGGACCAAGGGGGAGGGGGAGGACUUACCUGGAGUCUCUUGUGAGCUCCCCAUGGCCCUGACCCCUUAAUGUGCGUGGAAGUGCGCGUGUGACAUUUUUCAGAGGACACAGUACUGAGACUUGGUGACCCGUGAAGGGAUAUGAAAUAGCUCAUUUUGUAGUUUGGAAAACUAGAGAAGUGGGGGCAGGAUGGGGCUCCUGGGGGGACCAGCAGCCGAGGCCAGAGCUUUCCCAGGCAUCUCACACAGGCUUCUUUCUGGGGCCAGAGGGCCCAGCUCUGGACACCUACCCACCCCCUGCCUCCCCUCCCCAUGCCCUGGCAGCAAAUAGGAGAGGCCACCUGUGAACAGACUGCUGUCCUGGGGUGAAAAACAUGAUCCCUGGCCUCGCUCAGUGGCUUCAGGAUCAGGGACAGGGGUCAGGGACACCCUUCAGAGAAGGUAUUUAGUGGCAGAGAACCAGACUGGGGCACUGGCCUUGGGGGCGCAGCAGGAGGGCUUCCCUCGGGGGGCGGGUGUCAGGGAGGCUCCCAGCUGCCCCCACCUUCCUGGGCACAGGCCAGCUCCACGUGGGAAUUCAAGGCCACUAAGCUGGGCCACUCCUUCUCCCCAGGUCCCUCUUGGGGGAUGCCCGCCCUGAGGGAGUGGGCACGACCUUCCCUUGCACUCUCCCCUGGCAUUGUCUAGACUGCAGCCAUGCUGGGCUCCUUGGACUCCCCAGAGCCUACAGGAUGGUACCAAGUGCAAUGUUCAAUUCUCACCCUGCCCCCCAUUCGCUUAGUUCCCGCUUUGCUUGGAGAACUUAGUUCUUCAGACAGUCAUCUGUUCACUGAUUUGUUAACCAGCUAUUUAUUAAGUGCCUACUGUGUGCCAGGCACUGUGCCAGCUGCUGGGACAACAGCCAUGAACAAAGUCGCUGCCCUCCCGAUGCCUAAGUUCUAGCGGGGAACAGAGACGGUUGACGUUAUGCUGGACCGUGAUCCGCUCGACUGGGGACAAACUAAAGCAGAGAAAAGGGAGCACAGUCGGAGGGCCCUAGCUGAGAAGCUGCCGUUUGAGCAGAACUUGGAGGAAAUGAGCCAUGUGGAUCUCUGGGGGCAGAGGGAACAGCCACCAGGCAGGGAGCUGGCGUGUUCGCGGAACAGCGGGAAGACCAGCAGGUCUGGAGCAGAGGGAGGAGGAGACGGGUCAGAGGGGUGAAGUGAGGGCUGCUGUAAGGGCUUUGGAACGAGAUGGGAGUCAGUGGAGAAUGUUGAGCUGGGAUGUGAGGUGUCAUGUGAUCUGAUUGGGGUUUUUUUUUUCCCCCCCGCACUUGUGCCACAAGGAAGUUCCCCAGGCCAGGAUGGAACCCACGCCACAGUUGCAGCCUGCGCCACAGCUGUGGCAAUACCAGAUCCUUAACUCACGGUGCCACAGGGGAACUUUCCUGACUGGGAUUUGAUGGGCUCCCUGGCUGCUGUGUCAAGAGGAGAUUGAGGGGUGUGGGGGGCAGUUAGGAAGUUACUGCCGUAGCUGAGGGCCCGUGAGGGAGACCAGUGCGGUGAGAGCUGAGGAGGGAGCUCCAGCAUCUACUCCAGGUCUGGUUGAUUCCACAGCUACUUUAUGCAAAUACAAGCCAAUGAGGGACCUGUUCUGGUCUUCCUCCACUUUAAAGUAACACACUAAACAAAGUCUUGGGAGCUCUGGGAUGCAGGCUCAAUCCCCAGCCCGGCACAGGAGGUUAAAGAUCUGGUGUUGCCGCAGCUGCCACUCAGAUCUGAUCCCUGGCCCGGGAACUCCAUAUUGCCAUGGGGAGGUCAAAAAAGAAGCAGCAAAAACAGGAAGAGGCCAGGGACACAGCCCUCUGGGGGACAUCGAGCGUGCUACAGAAAUUUCAGAUGCACUCAGCCUUUAACCUGGCCACCCGUUUCUAGAACGGAUCAUAUGGCCACAGCUGCACACAGCAACUUGACUUAGGUUCAGGGCUACUCAUUGUAGCAGCAACAUGUUGAACACACCCAAUAUCUCUCCAUGAGGAUCUGGUUAAAUCAAAGCAGUGCAUAUACCUAUACACACCUUUUCAGCUCUGGGGACCU
rnacentral:lncRNA from 1 species